GUCCGCACGGUAAACGAUGGAUGCCCGCUGUUGACCCACCUGGGCCAGCGGCCAAGCGAAAGCAUUAAGCAUCCCACCUGGGGAGUACGCCGGCAACGGUGAAACUCAAAGGAAUUGACGGGGGCCCCGCACAAGCGGAGGAACAUGUGGUUUAAUUCGAUGAUACGCGAGGAACCUUACCCGGGCUUGAAUUGCAGAGGAAAGAUCCAGAGAUGGUGAUGCCCUUCGGGGCCUCUGUGAAGGUGCUGCAUGGUUGUCGU
rnacentral:rRNA from 1 species